UUUUUUUUUUUUUUUUUUUUGUAGAAAGUGGCUUAGCAAAAGAAAGGAUAAAGUCUUUCCUUGUCCGUUUUUGAAUUAUUUCUUAACAGUGUCUUCCUCAGCUGACUGUAAAAUGCUGAAUUAUACCUAAGUAUUUAUUGACAAUGUCUAUUUAUCCUCUUUUCAUUCAUAUUGUACUGCACAUAAUAUAUUUGUUAUAUAACAAGUGGGUACUAAAUUUGAAAUUAAUUUGUUGGCCUCUGAUUUAGUCUUUUAUAAAAUUGUGAUAUAGAAUCUCUAAAUGUUUCACAUCUAAAAUUGAUCUCUCUCUUUUAUGUUGUCUAAUAAGACCUGGGCUAAUCUGCUGAAUGUCUGCUGUGAGGUAGGCACUGUGAUAGGCACACUGUAGAUGUUCUGUGUGUUAGAGAUGAGGAACCAGAGUCUGGAGCGGUGAAUCAAGUACUUUUUAGGUGCAGUGCAGGAGGGUAAACCCAGUUCUCUAAAUUGUCCUUUUUUUUUCCCUACUCUUUUCAUAUGUUUCUCUUCUUUGUAAUUAUAUGUGAGAAAUAUGUACUUUAAAAACUUAUGUAAUGUUCUCAAAUAUUAAAAAGACUUUCCUUUUAUUUUUAGUACAUUUUUAAUUCUUUUAAUUUCUUCACUAUUACUGUGAACAUUAGUCUCACUUUAUUAUUUUAAAGACAAUUGCAGCAAACAUUCCCUUUGGGGGUGUGUGUGUGUGUGUGUGUGUGUGUGUGUGUGUGUGUGUGUGUGUGUGUGUGUGUUCAGUAGACUUUAUUUUUUAGAGCGGUUAUGAGUUAACAGCAAAGUUGAGUGAGAAGUGCAGGGCAUUCACAUACACCCGCUGCUCCUAAACAUGCACAACCUCCCCCACUGUCAACAUCUUGCAUCAAAGUGGUACAUGUUCUACAAUGCAUAAUCCUAACCUGACGUGACAUUAUCACUCAGACUCAAUAGUUUAUGUUAGAUUUCACUUUCGGUGUUGUUCAUAUGUUUUUAUUUUCUAUAUUUUGUCUGUAAUUAUUCCAAAGUUUUAUGUUUCAAAGUUUUAAGGACACAAGAAACUUAGCACAAUAAUUUUGUUUUCUUUUGUUUUGUUUUUGUUUGGAAAUGAAGUCUCUCUCUGUCACCCAAAAUGGAGUGUAGUGGCAUCAUCUUGCCUCACUGCAACCUCUGCUUCCUGGCUUCAACAAUUCUGCUUCAGCCUCCUGAGGAGUAGUUUGACUACAGGAGCACUCCCCAACACCUCCCUAACAUUUUGUAUUUUUGGCAGAGACGGGGUUUUACUCUAUUGGUCAGGAUGUUAUUGAACUCCUGAGCUCAGGUGAUCCACCUGUCUCAACCUCUCAAAUUGGUGGAUUCACAGGUUUGAGUCGUGAUACCUACCCUUGAUCCCUUAAAGGAUUUUUUUUUAAGAUUGUAGUAGCUUAAUUUCCUUUUUUAAAGUGCUGCCUACUAUAACUG
rnacentral:lncRNA from 1 species